rnacentral:rRNA from 1 species
AACGAACGCUGGCGGCAGGCCUAACACAUGCAAGUCGAGCGCUCUCUUCGGAGGGAGCGGCGGACGGGUUAGUAACGCGUGGGAAUAUACCCUUCUCUAAGGAAUAGCCAUUGGAAACGAUGAGUAAUACCUUAUACGCCCUUCGGGGGAAAGAUUUAUCGGAGAGGGAUUAGCCCAGGUGGGAUUAGCUAGUUGGUGAGGUAAAGGCUCACCAAGGCAACGAUCCCUAGCUGGUCUGAGAGGAUGAUCAGCCACACUGGAACUGAGACACGGUCCAGACUCCUACGGGAGGCAGCAGUGGGGAAUAUUGCACAAUGGGGGAAACCCUGAUGCAGCCAUGCCGCGUGUAUGAAGAAGGCCUUCGGGUUGUAAAGUACUUUCAGUCGUGAGGAAGACAUUGUAGUUAAUAGCUGCAGUGUUUG